GAUGAACGCUAGCUACAGGCUUAACACAUGCAAGUCGAGGGGCAGCAUGGUCUUAGCUUGCUAAGGCCGAUGGCGACCGGCGCACGGGUGAGUAACACGUAUCCAACCUGCCGUCUACUCUUGGACAGCCUUCUGAAAGGAAGAUUAAUACAAGAUGGCAUCAUGAGUCCGCAUGUUCACAUGAUUAAAGGUAUUCCGGUAGACGAUGGGGAUGCGUUCCAUUAGAUAGUAGGCGGGGUAACGGCCCACCUAGUCUUCGAUGGAUAGGGGUUCUGAGAGGAAGGUCCCCCACAUUGGAACUGAGACACGGUCCAAACUCCUACGGGAGGCAGCAGUGAGGAAUAUUGGUCAAUGGGCGAGAGCCUGAACCAGCCAAGUAGCGUGAAGGAUGACUGCCCUAUGGGUUGUAAACUUCUUUUAUAAAGGAAUAAAGUCGGGUAUGGAUACCCGUUUGCAUGUACUUUAUGAAUAAGGAUCGGCUAACUCCGUGCCAGCAGCCGCGGUAAUACGGAGGAUCCGAGCGUUAUCCGGAUUUAUUGGGUUUAAAGGGAGCGUAGAUGGAUAUUUAAGUCAGUUGUGAAAGUUUGCGGCUCAACCGUAAAAUUGCAGUUGAUACUGGAUAUCUUGAGUGCAGUUGAGGCAGGCGGAAUUCGUGGUGUAGCGGUGAAAUGCUUAGAUAUCACGAAGAACUCCGAUUGCGAAGGCAGCCUGCUAA
rnacentral:rRNA from 1 species